rnacentral:rRNA from 1 species
UACGUAGGGUCCGAGCGUUGUCCGGAAUUAUUGGGCGUAAAGAGCUCGUAGGCGGUCUGUCGCGUCUGCUGUGAAAACUCAGGGCUUAACCCUGAGCUUGCAGUGGGUACGGGCAGACUAGAGUGCGGUAGGGGAGACUGGAAUUCAUGGUGUAGCAGUGAAAUGCGUAGAGAUCAUGAGGAAGACCAGUGGCGAAGGCGGGUCUCUGGACAGUUCCUGACACUGAGGCACGAAGGCCAGGGGAGCAAACGGG